rnacentral:rRNA from 1 species
ACGCCGCGUGAGGGAUGAAGGCCUUCGGGUUGUAAACCUCUUUCAGUAGGGAAGAAGCGAAAGUGACCGUACCUAAUAGAACACAGCACCGGCUAACUAUGUGCCAGCAGCCGCGGUAAUACAUAGCGGUGCAAUGCGUUGUCCGCGAAUGAUCGUGGCGUAGCAGAGCUCGCUAGGUCUGUUAGGUCACGAUCGUAUUGUGCAUAUCCCCGCGGCUCAACCUGCUGGAACUGCGUUUGAAACUCCAUACAGCUUACGCAGUAUGAGGAGAGGGGGGUAUGAAUUCCACGUAGUAUCAGAUGACAAUGCGUAUGACAUGUGAGAGGACAUACCAAGUGGCGCAAGGCCAGCCGCCCUGGGCUUAUGUACUCGACGCUCAUGCACGAAUGCGUGGGGAGCAAGCUGGAUUAGAUAGCCCUGUUAGUCCACGCCCUAAUCGAUGUCUACUAGUGGUUGGGAGAGUAAACUCUCUUAGUAACGCAGCUAACGCGUGACGUACACCGGCUGGGGAGUACGGUCGCAAGAUUCAAACUCAUAGGAAUUGACGGGGGCCCGCACAAGCGGUGGAUGAUGUGGAUUAAUUCGAUGCCACGCGAAAAACCUUACCUGGCCUUGACAUGUUGCGAGCUUAACAGAGAUGCUUUGGCGCCCGAAGGGGAACGCUAACACAGGUGCUGCAUGGCUGUCGUCAGCUCGUGUCGGAGAAUGUGGGUUAAGUCCCGGAACGAGAGCAACCUUGGCAUUAGUGCAUCAUUAGGGGG